AUUGAACGCUGGCGGCAUGCCUUACACAUGCAAGUCGAACGGCAGCAUGAUCUAGCUUGCUAGAUUGAUGGCGAGUGGCGAACGGGUGAGUAAUACAUCGGAACGUGCCCUGUAGUGGGGGAUAACUAGUCGAAAGAUUAGCUAAUACCGCAUACGACCUGAGGGUGAAAGUGGGGGACCGCAAGGCCUCAUGCUAUAGGAGCGGCCGAUGUCUGAUUAGCUAGUUGGUGAGGUAAAGGCUCACCAAGGCGACGAUCAGUAGCUGGUCUGAGAGGACGAUCAGCCACACUGGGACUGAGACACGGCCCAGACUCCUACGGGAGGCAGCAGUGGGGAAUUUUGGACAAUGGGGGCAACCCUGAUCCAGCAAUGCCGCGUGUGUGAAGAAGGCCUUCGGGUUGUAAAGCACUUUUGUCCGGAAAGAAAUCGCACUUACUAAUAUUAGGUGUGGAUGACGGUACCGGAAGAAUAAGGACCGGCUAACUACGUGCCAGCAGCCGCGGUAAUACGUAGGGUCCAAGCGUUAGUCGGAGUUACUGGGCGUAAAGCGUGCGCAGGCGGUUGUGCAAGACCGAUGUGAAAUCCCCGGGCUUAACCUGGGAAUUGCAUUGGUGACUGCACGGCUAGAGUGUGUCAGAGGGGGGUAGAAUUCCACGUGUAGCAGUGAAAUGCGAAGAGAUGUGGAGGAAUACCGAUGGCGAAGGCAGCCCCCUGGGAUAACACUGACGCUCAUGCACGAAAGCGUGGGGAGCAAACAGGAUUAGAUACCCUGGUAGUCCACGCCCUAAACGAUGUCAACUAGUUGUUGGGGAUUCAUUUCCUUAGUAACGUAGCUAACGCGUGAAGUUGACCGCCUGGGGAGUACGGUCGCAAGAUUAAAACUCAAAGGAAUUGACGGGGACCCGCACAAGCGGUGGAUGAUGUGGAUUAAUUCGAUGCAACGCGAAAAACCUUACCUACCCUUGACAUGCCACUAACGAAGCAGAGGUGCAUUAGGUGCUCGAAAGAGAAAGUGGACACAGGUGCUGCAUGGCUGUCGUCAGCUCGUGUCGUGAGAUGUUGGGUUAAGUCCCGCAACGAGCGCAACCCUUGUCUCUAGUUGCUACGAAAGGGCACUCUAGAGAGACUGCCGGUGACAAACCGGAGGAAGGUGGGGAUGACGUCAAGUCCUCAUGGCCCUUAUGGGUAGGGCUUCACACGUUAUACAAUGGUGCAUACAGAGGGUUGCCAAGCCGCGAGGUGGAGCUAAUCCCAGAAAAUGCAUCGUAGUCCGGAUCGUAGUCUGCAACUCGACUACGUGAAGCUGGAAUCGCUAGUAAUCGCGGAUCAGCAUGCCGCGGUGAAUAAGUUCCCGGGUCU
rnacentral:rRNA from 1 species